AUAACGGCGUCGAGCGGCGGACGGGUGAGUAAUGCCUAGGAAAUUGCCCUGAUGUGGGGGAUAACCAUUGGAAACGAUGGCUAAUACCGCAUGAUGCCUACGGGCCAAAGAGGGGGACCUUCGGGCCUCUCGCGUCAGGAUAUGCCUAGGUGGGAUUAGCUAGUUGGUGAGGUAAGGGCUCACCAAGGCGACGAUCCCUAGCUGGUCUGAGAGGAUGAUCAGCCACACUGGAACUGAGACACGGUCCAGACUACUACGGGAGGCAGCAGUGGGGAAUAUUGCACAAUGGGCGCAAGCCUGAUGCAGCCAUGCCGCGUGUGUGAAGAAGGCCUUCGGGUUGUAAAGCACUUUCAGUCGUGAGGAAGGUAGUGUAGUUAAUAGCUGCAUUAUUUGACGUUAGCGACAGAAGAAGCACCGGCUAACUCCGUGCCAGCAGCCGCGGUAAUACGGAGGGUGCGAGCGUUAAUCGGAAUUACUGGGCGUAAAGCGCAUGCAGGUGGUUUGUUAAGUCAGAUGUGAAAGCCCGGGGCUCAACCUCGGAAUAGCAUUUGAAACUGGCAGACUAGAGUACUGUAGAGGGGGGUAGAAUUUCAGGUGUAGCGGUGAAAUGCGUAGAGAUCUGAAGGAAUACCGGUGGCGAAGGCGGCCCCCUGGACAGAUACUGACACUCAGAUGCGAAAGCGUGGGGAGCAAACAGGAUUAGAUACCCUGGUAGUCCACGCCGUAAACGAUGUCUACUUGGAGGUUGUGGCCUUGAGCCGUGGCUUUCGGAGCUAACGCGUUAAGUAGACCGCCUGGGGAGUACGGUCGCAAGAUUAAAACUCAAAUGAAUUGACGGGGGCCCGCACAAGCGGUGGAGCAUGUGGUUUAAUUCGAUGCAACGCGAAGAACCUUACCUACUCUUGACAUCCAGAGAACUUUCCAGAGAUGGAUUGGUGCCUUCGGGAACUCUGAGACAGGUGCUGCAUGGCUGUCGUCAGCUCGUGUUGUGAAAUGUUGGGUUAAGUCCCGCAACGAGCGCAACCCUUAUCCUUGUUUGCCAGCGAGUAAUGUCGGGAACUCCAGGGAGACUGCCGGUGAUAAACCGGAGGAAGGUGGGGACGACGUCAAGUCAUCAUGGCCCUUACGAGUAGGGCUACACACGUGCUACAAUGGCGCAUACAGAGGGCGGCCAACUUGCGAAAGUGAGCGAAUCCCAAAAAGUGCGUCGUAGUCCGGAUUGGAGUCUGCAACUCGACUCCAUGAAGUCGGAAUCGCUAGUAAUCGUGGAUCAGAAUGCCACGGUGAAUACGUUCCCGGGCCUUGUACACACCGCCCGUCACACCAUGGGAGUGGGCUGCAAAAGAAGUAGGUAGU
rnacentral:rRNA from 1 species